GCUCUGAACAGCCCACUACCAGGCGGUUACAGACAUCGCUGUCAAUCAGUUACGCUCUUCAUCUAUAAAAAGGGACCCCCAGAUACGUUCUUCUCUAAGCUCUAAACUCUAUCUUGAAACUCUGCUAAAAUUUUCAAUCGAGCACUCUAUUUCUGUUGAAGCAGAGUACUAACUUGAGCAUUGGAGGGUCUUACCGGAGCACCCCAAACUCUGAUUUAGACUUCCCUUGC
rnacentral:lncRNA from 1 species